GACUGCCUAGGGCAAAACCGGCGCGAGCCGGCGACGCAAAGCUUCCGGUCUCCCGCCGGCAUCCCUCCGAUGCCGUGGCGCGAGAUAGCGGGGUUGCCGGA
rnacentral:ncRNA from 1 species